GUUCUCUAGCUUGUUGCAGGGGCCUGUUCAGCCACAGACUGUCUCCAGAACUGGGGACGGGACAGAAAGGUGGUGGAAAGCCAUCUAUGUCUCAUCCCCCUCUCCAACAAGUGCACCGAGUGCUGCUCCGCAACACCUGAGGAUUUGGCCCACAGCCUCUGUAUUUUUACCCUUGUAUAAAAUAGGGAGAACAACCACCAUGAGCAAAAUCCAAAUCAUACUUUAAGAUCCCAUGGGCACAUGGAGCUUGGUAAGGAAAUAUCAUUCUCUGCAUUUUAGAAACAAGAAAACGGAGGCUCAGAGAUGUUCAGUGACGUACCUGGGAGUCGCAGUAAAUCCACCCCCACAAAUGGAAGUUGCCUUACAGACACAGGUCUGCUAUUUGCACUCAGGUGAUUCAGGGUGAGGUACCUUGGGUUUGUUAGGUGCUUAAAGAAAUACAAACACAGCCAUUUAUUACCUAUUCUCCCCAAACAUUGCCUUGAUCUGCCUGAGCUAUCCUAUUGUAAAUUCAGUGAAUGUCCUGUGGAGGAAGUGGCUGGCAAGGUUUCUAUUACUCCCUAGUCCACAACUGUUUUUGCACCUUCUUCUCUAAAUAAGGAAGCCUGCAAGAUAUCUGACUAUCCAACUAAUUUGUCCUCUUUGCAUUCAGCAACCCCUGCCGACCAUCCAAUGAAACUUCAUUCCUGCCUCAUAUAUUGGAUGACAGCAUUCGUCCAACCUCAGCCAGCCCGGGAGAAGAGAGUAGGUUAGUGUUACAGACAUGGUGAGUUUACCUUUGGCGAACUGUUGAUGUCACAGUGAUGCUGCAGGGUGGGACGGCCUCCAAACUAUAAAGAUAGGUCAAUCCAGUAUAUUGAGGCUGCCCACCAGACAGCAGGAGCUACAAAACAUGGUCCCCACCAGUGAGAGUUCUGCUGGCCUGUCUCUGUUCUCAACCCAACUGCUCUCAGGCUUUAGUUUCAUGUCAGCAAUCUUCAUCCGCCUUCCAAAAAUAAGCCUGUGCCACCAUGCGGAAGGGAGAAAAACAAGAAGGGCGGUAUUUUUAGGGCCAUUAAUUCUGACCACGUGCCCGAGAGGUGAACCGGAUGGCCAUUGCACAAAGACUUCUCAUCACUAUGUCCUGUGAAGCCAGCGUUCACUGGACAUUGCCUGCUUUUGUUCUCUUGGGUUUUCUGGCUGGGAUUGUUUCAUCGUAUCCAGUUGUAAGCAGAACUAAUGGCACAUUGCUGGAGAGAGGAUGGGAAUCUCUGUUGUCCAGGUCCAUUGCUGGGAUGUCAGGAGAGAAAUCAGAUGUGAACUGGGAGAGUGACUAUUUGCUAGGAAUCAAGAGGCAGCGGAGGCUUUACUGCAAUGUGGGCAUCGGGUUUCACCUUCAAAUCCUCCCAGAUGGAAGGAUAAGCGGUGUUCAUAAUGAAAACCAAUACAGUGAGUUGCAUCCAGAAAUGAAAUAGAAUAGAUAUCACUUAAUUGCAGUGAUCUCUAGUAAUUACCCUGCAUAGGACACAAAUGUUACUGCUUGAUAUUCUUAGUCUAAACUACAUCUGUUGCCUUUUAAAAGUCUCCAGGAUCAAUCAGCACUAGAAAUCUCCAGGCUGAAACAUGUCAUGAAUGCUUGGACAAAAUUAGAUACCAACUUAUUUUUACUCUGCUUUACUUUACAGAGUAGAAAAGACUAACCAGUUUGCAAACUUUUUUUCUGAUGCAUUUUUUCACUCAUGCACUUUUGUUCAGUAUUUGAAUCUUGAGGUUUUCAAUUCACUCAGCAUAUUAGCAUUACUUCUGAAUAGCAGUUUACUAGCAGUUUAAGGACGUGAAGGAUUUGAAAGGGCACAACUAAUCCACAUUUAUUAGCAUUGCCAUUGUUUUUAAUCUGCAAGAUUAAAAGAAAUGUAUUUUUAACUAUUUAUUUGAAUUUCUUGUAAAGUGCAAUUUACAAAACCAUUUGCAACUAAAAGGUUAUGGUGAGCUUCAUGUCACAACCCCCAUAAUUCUUGUGGCAAGAAUGACAGUAUUGAAUAGUGGCUAUGAUUAACUAAUUAGGAAUUAUUCCCAAAUUCUAUAGGACUUUCUAGUUUAACAGGGAUGAAACCAACAGGAUUCUAUAGCAAGUGAAUAGGAUUUUAUAAAUGUUAUUCUAAAAACCUACAGAAUUUAAUAAAGAAUGUGAUACCAUGUAUAUUUUUGGAAUUCUAUAGUAGGGAUAAUAGGAAGAUUCUAAAUUCUGUAGGACAUUCUCAUAAGGGUUUUAAUAAUUAUAUUGUUAAUUUCCUUUGACUGAGCAUUAUAAGAAUAAACUUUUUUCUGUUUAUUUAGGUCUUUUAGAAAUAUCAACUGUGGAGCGAGGUGUUGUUAGCCUGUUUGGAAUGAAAAGUGCUCUCUUUGUAGCAAUGAACAACAAAGGGAGGUUAUAUGGAACGGCAAUUUUUCAAGAUGAAUGCAAAUUCAAAGAAACUCUGCUGCCCAAUAACUACAAUGCAUAUGAAUCUAGUGCUUACCAAGGGGCUUACAUAGCGCUCAGCAAACAUGGGAGAGUGAAAAAAGGAAACAAAGUCUCUCCUGCAAUGACAGUGACACAUUUUUUGCCUAGAAUAUGAAAACAAAUACAACAUAUUAAACCACAGGAAAAAAAAAUCUAUUUCAUUUUGCACAUGUGAAUAAUCUCCCAGGUGAUGCCGCAGCAUGGUGGGGUUGCAUACCCAUUGGAUAAGCAGGCAUUUGGAGAGAUGCUUUGACGGUGAUCCUUCUCUAAUAUGUGGUUAUGUUCAUAAAAAGUGACUGUCAAAUGGCACAUGUUUACUCCACGUGUCCUCAACUCAUGGCGUUUUACAUUACAGCCAAAGCCAAGUUUCACUGUUGUUAGCCCUGCAGAAGCAAAACAGCUGCAGGAGAGUGGCCCUGAUUUUGUUCUGCCUCAUGCAUCGCUCGCAAAGUUGUCAGCUGAAUUCCAACAACAGACUCCUCCUACUUCACCAUGAGUAAUGAGUCAGAAAGUACAGUUUGCAGAUCUCCGGGUGAGAUUGCAGAGCUGGCAAUUAGAAAAACCACCUUUAAUUUAUACAUGCUUUACAGAGAAGUUACUGAGAGAAUUUGGAUACAAUCUUACAAACCCUGACUCGCACGAGCAGGUCUUUACUGAGGUCAGCUACUCCCCUGAGUAAAAAAUUUAGGGGAAUGAAGGUUUUUGCAAUAUGGGGCAAAAUAUGGAACCUCUUUGUCAUUAUCAGAGCAUAUUCACUCAUCGGUGCCCAUUAGCAAGUUAUUCUGAACCACAUUACUUGCUCAAAAAGUGUCAACCUGUCAAAAAUACCACAUGCAUGCUAAUUAUUGGCCUAUGUAGCUCUUUCUUUGUACAUAGGUAACAAAUCCAUAGGAGAAUCCCAUUACAAGGAUUGUUUUUUUCGUAGGCAAACCCCAUAACAACUAAUGACCUGAUCCAACUCCCACACAUGUCAGGGUCUCUCUCUCAGAGCUAGAUCAGGACUUUAAUUAUGUAAAUAAGCUGCCCCACACACAUGCCAGGAAAGCAGAGCCAUCUUUGUAUACCUCAUUAACUAUUUCAAUUCCAAUAUUCUAUUUUGCACAAUAAAAUGGUGCCAAAGUUCUAGCAUUGUUUUCUUGCCACCAAGAUAUACCUCAUCUUCUGACUCAGUGUGGACUUACAAAUAAGAUUGUAAAUUUGUAGGAAACAAAAAACUGUCCAAUCGUUUAUAAAAUGUAUUUGCUUCUAUUUUUAUACACAUGUGCUGUGCACAACUGUUUAAUGUAUUCAUAAAAUAAAUUCUUUU